CCCUUAGAUGUUCUGGGCCGCACGCGCGCUACAAUGAUGAAUUCAACGAGUUUAUAACCUUGGUUGAAAAGCCUGGGUAAUCUUUUGAACUUUCGUCGUGAUGGGGCUAGACCCUUGCAAUUAUUGGUCUCCAACGAGGAAUUCCUAGUAAACGCAAGUCAUCAGCUUGCAUUGAAUACGUCCCUGCCCUUUGUACACACCGCCCGUCGCUCCUACCGAUUGAGUGGUCCGGUGAGGCUUUGGGAUCUGAGCGGAAAGAGCGUUUCGCUGUUUCUGCUCGGAAAACUCAGUCGAACCUUAUCAUUUAGAGGAAGGAGAAGUCGUAACA
rnacentral:rRNA from 1 species